AAUAGAUACCCGGGUAGUCCACGCUGUAAACGGUGGGUACUAGGUGUGGGUCCAUUCCACGGGUUCCGUGCCGUAGCUAACGCUUUAAGUACCCCGCCUGGGAGUACGGCCGCAAGGCUAAAACUCAAAGGAAUUGACGGGGCCCGCACAAGCGGCGGAGCAUGCGGAUUAAUUCGAUGCAACGCGUAGAACCUUACCUGGGUUUGACAUGGAUCGGGAGCGCUCAGAGAUGGGUGUGCCUCUUUUGGGGUCGGUUCACAGGUGGUGCAUGGCUGUCGUCAGCUCGUGUCGUGAGAUGUUGGGUUAAGUCCCGCAACGAGCGCAACCCUUGUUCACUGUUGCCAGCACGUUAUGGUGGGGACUCAGUGGAGACCGCCGGGGUCAACUCGGAGGAAGUGGGGAUGACGUCAAGGUCAUCAUGCCCCUUAUGUCCAGGGCUUCACGCAUGCUACAAUGGCUGGUACAGAGAGUGGCAGCCUGUGAGGGUGAGCGAAUCUCGGAAANCCGGUNUCAGUUCGGAUUGGGGUCUGC
rnacentral:rRNA from 1 species